rnacentral:tRNA from 1 species
GCCGAAAUAGCUCAGUUGGGAGAGCGUUAGACUGAAGAUCGAAGGUCCCUGGUUCGAUCCCGGGUUUCGGCA